AUACGGAGGGUGCGAGCGUUAUCCGGAUUUAUUAGGUUUAAAGGGUGUGUAGGCGGGAGCCUAAGUCAGUGGUGAAAUCUCACAGCUUAACUGUGAAACUGCCAUUGAAACUGGGUUUCUUGAGUAUAGUUGAGGUAGGCGGAAUGUGUAAUGUAGCGGUGAAAUGUAUAGAUAUUACACAGAACACCGAUUGCGAAGGCAGCUUACUAAGCUAUUACUGACGCUGAUGCACGAAAGCGUGGGUAGCGAACAGGAUUAGAAACCCGGGUAGUCC
rnacentral:rRNA from 1 species